rnacentral:rRNA from 1 species
AGCGAACGCUGGCGGCAGGCCUAACACAUGCAAGUCGAACGAAGUCUUCGGACUUAGUGGCGGACGGGUGAGUAACACGUGGGAACGUACCUUUUGGUUCGGAACAACUCAGGGAAACUUGAGCUAAUACCGGAUGAGCCCUUAGGGGGAAAGAUUUAUCGCCAAAAGAGCGGCCCGCGUUAGAUUAGCUAGUUGGUGAGGUAAAGGCUCACCAAGGCUACGAUCUAUAGCUGGUCUGAGAGGAUGAUCAGCCACACUGGGACUGAGACACGGCCCAGACUCCUACGGNNGGCAGCAGUGGGGAAUCUUGCGCAAUGGGCGAAAGCCUGACGCAGCCAUGCCGCGUGAAUGAUGAAGGUCUUAGGAUUGUAAAAUUCUUUUACCAGGGACGAUAAUGACGGUACCUGGAGAAAAAGCCCCGGCUAACUUCGUGCCAGCCGCCGCCGUAAAA